rnacentral:rRNA from 1 species
AGCAGCCGCGGUAAUUCCAGCUCCAAUAGCGUAUAUUAAAGUUGUUGCAGUUAAAAAGCUCGUAGUUGAAUUUCGGGGUUCUUCCGUUGGUCGGGCUAUCCAGUCUGUACUAGCGUGUAGAAUUCCUACCUUCUGGGGAACCAUCAUGUUAUUAAUUUAGCGUGGUGGGAAACCAGGACCUUUACCUUGAAAAAAUUAGAGUGUUCAAAGCAGGCUUACGUCUGAAUACAUUAGCAUGGAAUAAUAGAAUAGGACGGUGGUCCUGUUUUGUUGGUUUCUGAAUCACCGUAAUGAUUAAUAGGGAUAGUUGGGGGCAUUAGUAUUCAAUUGUCAGAGGUGAAAUUCUUGGAUUUAUUGAAGACUAACUUCUGCGAAAGCAUUUGCCAAGGAUGUUUUCAUUAAUCAAGAACGAAAGUUAGGGGAUCGAAGACGAUCAGAUACCGUCGUAGUCUUAACCAUAAACUAUGCCGACUAGGGAUCGGACGAUGUUAAAUUCUAUUGACUCGUUCGGCGCCUUACG